CAGGCCCCACACUCGCUCCCCCAACCGCUGCAAUCUGGAAGAAAUUACUCUUUCCAAACAGCCAGACUUCCCCACUUGCAGGAAAUUCCAGGCUGGCAGGGGAGGGGCCGGGCUGGGGGGCCGCCCCGUCCAUCCAAUCCCCCACCCCCUCCGCGGUCCUUCCACCCGCACAUCCAGUCCCGGCCACUUCCCGCCCCCACACUCAGCCUGGAGGGGCCUCCGCUUUUCCGCCGCGGCUUCUUAGUCCUUAAAUCCUAGAGGCCAACUUUUUUUGGGGGGUGGGGGGGGGUCGGGGGAGGGGGAUAAGGGAGGCCUGGGAGGGGCCUACUGCCUUAACCCUCUCGGCCCCAGACGGGACUGGGCGGGAACUCUGCGCCCCUCUGGGCUCCCAUCAUGGCCCCCGAGAGGGGCUGAGGCUUCCGUUCCCGGUGCAGGUGAGAUCCCGCCCGAAGGAAGGCGGAGGGAGGCGCGGGCCUGGGACCAGGAGGCGGAGGCGGGCCCCGAACCGAGAGGAGCGGGUCCCGGGCGGAGCCGGAGCCUGAGAGCGCGCGCGUCCGGUUCGGCAAGGACCGCGAGUGACUGUUAAAACAAAAGUACAAGGUCAUCAAGUCCCUCCCAGAAGUUCCAUAAAAACAGCCAAGUUCCAGGAUAUGGGCAAAGGUUGGUGGACAUAUCUAUUUACCAUCAAGUCAUGAAGUCAUGAAGUCAUGUGGCCAUAGGACACCUGGUUUAUAGUUCAUGUGCUGCCAGACUGGAAUUUAUGCCAUUCUUGCCAUGUUUUAACAUAGGAAAUUUUGCAUUAUUAUUACUGUUACUCUUAGCAAGAAGUAAGGUUUUAUGCUGCUUGUUUCAAAACCAGAUAAUUUGAAAUUGUAAAACACUGUGUAAAACGCUGUGGGUGUCGGGGGGAUGGUCUAAGUGGUAAAGAGCCCACCCACAAAUACAGGAGAUGCAGGUUUGAUCCCUGGGUGGGGAAGAUCCCCUGGAGGAGGAAAUGGCAACCCACUCCAGUGUUCUUGCCUGGAGAACCCCAUGGAGAGAGGAGCCUGGCUGACUGCAGUCCAUGGGGUUGUAAAGAGUCAGACACGACUGAGCGUGCAUGUGGACACACGCACACACACGUACAUGUGCAAGUAUACAGAUUCCCAGGCCCACCCUAAACCUCCCAAAUUAGAAUCCUCAGGCCAGCCUACAUUAUGACUUUUGUGUGUCCCAGGCAAAGCUUUCAUGGACAUAAUUAUCUAUGUUAUAAUUAUAUUUUAUGACCGUGUUGGUAUAAAGACAAACAUAAUCCAGACAUUUUGAAAUAAAUCAAAACACAGCGUCCCUCGGCUCA
rnacentral:lncRNA from 1 species